GCCGGGCGUGGUGGCUCAUGCCUAUAAUCUCAGCACUUUGGGAGGCCGAGACAGGUGGAUCACCUGAGGUCAGGAGUUCUAGACUAGCCUGGCUAACCUGGUGAAAUGUUGUCUCUAUUGAAAAAAAAAAAAAAAAUAGCUGGGCUUGAUGGUGGGAACCUGUAAUCCCAGCUACUCGGGAGGCUGAGAGAGGAGAAUCACUUGAACCUGGGAGGCCAAGGUUGCAGUGAGCUGGCAUUGUGCCAUUGCACUCCAGCCUGGGCCACAGAGUGAGACUCUGCCUCA
rnacentral:sRNA from 1 species